rnacentral:rRNA from 1 species
UAUCUCUGUAGAGUCUGCAUAUCAAUAAGCGGAGGAAAAGAAACUAACAAGGAUUCCCUCAGUAACGGCGAGUGAAGCGGGAAGAGCUCAAAUUUGAAAUCUUCAAGGUUCUACCUUGACGAAUUGUAGUUUAAAGAAGUGUUUUCUGUUGAGUUUUGGUAAAAGUUCUUUGGAAUAGGACAUCAUAGAGGGUGAGAAUCCCGUAUUUGACCAUUAUUUCCAGCUUUGUGAUACACUUUCAAAGAGUCGGAUUGUUUGGGAAUGCAGUCCAAAAUGGGUGGUAAAUUUCAUCUAAAGCUAAAUAUUGGCGAGAGACCGAUAGCGAACAAGUACCGUGAGGGAAAGAUGAAAAGAACUUUGAAAAGAGAGUUAAACAGUACGUGAAAUUGUCAAAAGGGAAGCGUUUGACACCAGUGUUGUUUUCUCGAAAAUCAAUUAAAAAAGUUGGAUUUUGUAUUGUAUAGACCUUAUCAGCUUUACUGCUACUCUUUUCUUGUCUUUUUUUAAUGCACUUUUCGUUUAACAAGUCAACAUCAAUUUCUUUUGUUGUAAAAGAGUCAUUGGAAGGUGGCUUUCACUUUCGGUAGAAAGUGUUUAUAGCCUUUGGCCUCUGCAAUCGGAGAGAUUGAGGUCUGCAGCGUAGAUCCUUCGGGGCUAGAUACAUUAGAUGCUAAGUUAUAGCCUUUUCAUAGACAACUUGUUGACUAUGAUCAGUCAUGUAGCUUACUCGCUUAUGCUAUUUUACCUACGCUUAGGAUGUUGAUAGUCACAGCGUGUAC